GACGUAGGGCGCAAGCGUUGUCCGGAAUUAUUGGGCGUAAAGAGCUCGUAGGCGGUCUGUUGCGUCUGCUGUGAAAACCCGGGGCUUAACCCCUGGCUUGCAGUGGAUACGGACAGACUAGAGGUAGGUAGGGGAGAAUGGAAUUCCCGGUGUAGCGGUGAAAUGCGCAGAUAUCGGGAGGAACACCGGUGGCGAAGGCGGUUCUCUGGGCCUUACCUGACGCUGAGGAGCGAAAGCGUGGGGAGCGAACAGG
rnacentral:rRNA from 1 species